rnacentral:rRNA from 1 species
GCAUAUCAAUAAGCGGAGGAAAAGAAACUAACUAGGAUUCCCUUAGUAACGGCGAGUGAACCGGGAUGAGCUCAAAUUUGAAAUCUGGCGUCUUUCAGGCGUCCGAGUUGUAAUCUAUAGAGGCGUUUUCCGCGCCGGACCGCGUCCAAGUCUCUUGGAAUAGAGUAUCAAAGAGGGUGACAAUCCCGUACUUGACGCGACAACCGGUGCUCUGUGAUACGUUCUCAAUGAGUCGAGUUGUUUGGGAAUGCAGCUCUAAAUGGGUGGUAAAUUCCAUCUAAGGCUAAAUAUUGGCGAGAGACCGAUAGCGAACAAGUACCGUGAGGGAAAGAUGAAAAGCACUUUGGAAAGAGAGUUAAACAGCACGUGAAAUUGUUAAAAGGGAAACGAUUGAAGUCAGUCGUGUGAGGGGUAUUCAGCCGUCUCUGGCGGUGUAUUUGCCUCUCACGGGUCAACAUCAGUUUGAUCCGGUAGAAAAAGGCGGGAGGAAGGUGGCACCCUCGGGUGUGUUAUAGCCUCCUGUCAUAUGUGCCGGACCAGACUGAGGAACGCAGCUUGCAGCAAUGCCGGGAUUCGUCCACGUACAAGCUUAGGAUGUUGACAUAAUGGCUUUAAACGACCCGUCUUGGAAACACGGACC